rnacentral:rRNA from 2 species
GCUUUUUGGGUUGUAAAGCACUUUAAGCCGAGGAGGAGGCUACUUAGGAUUAAUACUCUAGGAUAGUGGACGUUACUCGCAGAAUAAGCACCUGGCUAACUCUGUGCCAGCAGCCGCGGUAAUACAGAGGGUGCGAGCGUUAAUCGGAUUUACUGGGCGUAAAGCGUGCGUAGGCGGCUUUUUAAGUCGGAUGUGAAAUCCCUGAGCUUAACUUAGGAAUUGCAUUCGAUACUGGGAAGCUAGAGUAUGGGAGAGGAUGGUAGAAUUCCAGGUGUAGCGGUGAAAUGCGUAGAGAUCUGGAGGAAUACCGAUGGCGAAGGCAGCCAUCUGGCCUAAUACUGACGCUGAGGUACGAAAGCAUGGGGAGCAAACAGGAUUAGAUACCCUGGUAGUCCAUGCCGUAAACGAUGUCUACUAGCCGUUGGGGCCUUUGAGGCUUUAGUGGCGCAGCUAACGCGAUAAGUAGACCGCCUGGGGAGUACGGUCGCAAGACUAAAACUCAAAUGAAUUGACGGGGGCCCGCACAAGCGGUGGAGCAUGUGGUUUAAUUCGAUGCAACGCGAAGAACCUUACCUGGUCUUGACAUAGUAAGAACUUUCCAGAGAUGGAUUGGUGCCUUCGGGAACUUACAUACAGGUGCUGCAUGGCUGUCGUCAGCUCGUGUCGUGAGAUGUUGGGUUAAGUCCCGCAACGAGCGCAACCCUUUUCCUUAUUUGCCAGCGGGUUAAGCCGGGAACUUUAAGGAUACUGCCAGUGACAAACUGGAGGAAGGCGGGGACGACGUCAAGUCAUCAUGGCCCUUACGACCAGGGCUACACACGUGCUACAAUGGUCGGUACAAAGGGUUGCUACCUAGCGAUAGGAUGCUAAUCUCAAAAAGCCGAUCGUAGUCCGGAUUGGAGUCUGCAACUCGACUCCAUGAAGUCGGAAUCGCUAGUAAUCGCGGAUCAGAAUGCCGCGGUGAAUACGUUCCCGGGCCUUGUACACACCGCCCGUCACACCAUGGGAAUUUGUUGCACCAGAAGUAGGUAGUCUAACCGCAAGGAGGACGCUACCACGGUGCCCGUUGCGA